GUGGGACUGCCCGACGCGACAUAUGCAAUUGCGCUCGGGGCCUUACGAUCCUUUCGGGAACUGUCCCUGUGGCUGGCUGUGGCCGGCUGCACACGGUGCCCACCUACAUAUGUAGGUCUCCGAGGAUACCGCAUAUGACGGUCUGGGCGGUUCCACA
rnacentral:other from 2 species